rnacentral:rRNA from 1 species
UACAGAGGUCCCAAGCGUUGUUCGGAUUCACUGGGCGUAAAGGGUGCGUAGGUGGUCGGGUAAGUCUGAUGUGAAAUCUCCGAGCUUAACUCGGAAACUGCAUCGGAUACUAUUCGGCUCGAGGGUUGGAGGGGGGACUGGAAUGCUUGGUGUAGCAGUGAAAUGCGUAGAUAUCUGGAGGAACACCGGUGGCGAAGGCGGCAUCCUGGACCGGUAUUGACGCUGAGGCGCGAAAGCUAGGGGAGCAAACGGG